rnacentral:pre_miRNA from 1 species
CUAGUACUUCCUCCGUCCAAUAAUACUUGUCCUAAAGAUGAAUGUAUGUAGACUUAUUUUAGUUAUAGAUACAUUAAUUAUAUCCAUUUUUAAGAUAAGUAUUUUCGGACGGAGCUACUAUCGU